UACGUAGGGUGCGAGCGUUGUCCGGAAUUAUUGGGCGUAAAGAGCUCGUAGGCGGUCUGUCGCGUCGAAUGUGAAAACCCGGGGCUCAACUCCGGGCUUGCAUUCGAUACGGGCAGGCUAGAGUUCGGUAGGGGAGUCUGGAAUUCCUGGUGUAGCGGUGAAAUGCGCGGAUAUCAGGAGGAACACCGGUGGCGAAGGCGGGACUCUGGGCCGAUACUGACGCCGAGGAGCGAAAGCGUGGGGAGCGAACAGG
rnacentral:rRNA from 1 species